ACUUUCAACANCGGAUCUCUUGGCUCUCGGAUCGAUGAAGAACGCAGCGAAAUGCGAUAAGUAAUGUGAAUUGCAGAAUUCAGUGAAUCAUCGAAUCUUUGAACGCACCUUGCGCUCUUUGGUAUUCCGAAGAGCAUGCCUGUUUGAGUGUCAU
rnacentral:rRNA from 1 species